GACGAACGCUGGCGGCGUGCUUAACACAUGCAAGUCGAACGGAAAGGCCCUGCUUUUGUUGGGUGCUCGAGUGGCGAACGGGUGAGUAACACGUGAGUAACCUGCCCUUGACUUUGGUAUAACUUCAGGAAACUGGGGCUAAUACCGGAUAGGAGCUCCUGCUGCAUGGUGGGGGUUGGAAAGUUUCGGCGGUUGGGGAUGGACUCGCGGCUUAUCAUCUUGUUGGUGGGGUAGUGGCUUACCAAGGCUUUGACGGGUAGCCGGCCUGAGAGGGUGACCGGCAAAAUUGGGACUGAGAUACGGACCAGACACCUACGGGAGGCAGCAGUGGGGAAUAUUGCACAAUGGGCGGAAGCCUGAUGCAGAAACGCCGCGUGCGGGAUGACGGCCUUCGGGUUGUAAACCGCUUUCGCCUGUGACGAAGCGUGAGUGACGGUAAUGGGUAAAGAAGCACCGGAUAACUACGUG
rnacentral:rRNA from 1 species